rnacentral:rRNA from 1 species
GUGUCAGCAGCCGCGGUAAUACGUAGGGGGCGAGCGUUGUCCGGAAUGAUUGGGCGUAAAGGGCGCGUAGGCGGCCGUGCAAGUCUGAAGUGGAAGUCCAUUUUUCAAGGGUGGAAUUGCUUUGGAAACUGCGCGGCUGGAGUGCAGGAGAGGUUAUCGGAAUUCCCGGUGUAGCGGUGAAAUGCGUAGAGAUCGGGAGGAACACCAGUGGCGAAGGCGGGUAACUGGACUGCAACUGACGCUGAGGCGCGAAAGUGUGGGGAGCAAACAGGAUUAGAUACCCUGGUAGUCCACACUGUAAACGAUGAAUGCUAGGUGUAGGAGGUAUCGACCCCUUCUGUGCCGCAGUAAACACAGUAAGCAUUCCGCCUGGGGAGUACGGUCGCAAGAUUAAAACUCAAAUAAAUUGACGG